CUGAAAUACAGUCACAGUAGUUUGAGUAUCGUAUUUCUUGUAUGUGCACCACUUUGAUUACAUGAGGCUCGCAUCAGAAAGGUGGAAAAUGCUGCCUUCGGAGACCGUAUACGGAGGCAGGCCCUGCUCAUUGAACCCAGGUGACAUUAAUGAUGAGUAUUUUUUAUGAUUGGCUACUGGGUGGAGAAGGCUCAGCAUAUUAGUCGAGCAAAGUCUCCUUACAGUGAGUGUGCCUUUUUCUCCUGUUCCAGACCAUGUUAAGUGUUGGUAUGGUGUUGUAGUUGAAUCAGUGUCUCUGCCUUAACCCCUUUGUUGUUGCUCAUACAUUUGCAUACUUUAAGGAAGGAAUCAUUAGGGAGGUGGGUGCCUUUCUUUUGAGAUGCCUUUUGUGUUUUUUGUUGGAGAUUGAGACAUUUCCUUAAUUCUGCUUCCUCUGUUCUUGAGCCCAUGACCUGGAAACUGAUCAAAGUCCGCCAUCAUGAAGGCCGUAUCAGUUCGACAACUGCACCGUGAGGACUGAGGAAGCUUACAGAGGAUGCUUGAGUGAGGAAACACUGUUGCAUCCUAUGUGGAACUCCUUUUGCUUGAAGCACCUGAGGCAUGCCUAUAAGUUCUCCUCCCACUUCACAUCUGUCCUUUUCCAACAAUGGCUGGAACACUGAUCAUGAAUGGACUGAUGAGGAGACCCUCAAUUUAAUAAGGCUGAGGACUGAAAACCAUUUAGACUUCACUGGGAGGAGGCACAGUGCUAAAAAAGGAACAGCAGUGUGCCGCUCUUUUUGGAGUGGGAGGACAAAAGUUUUGUGCAACACACGAAUU